CUUUGAGCUAACUAUUUGUUAUUUUUACCUCACUAUUUGUCACUUAUAGCCAGCCAUUGUUACUUUUAGCUGACAUUUUCACUAACAUCAACCAUUUAUUUCAAGUUAUUAUGGGGUUAAAUUCAAAUUAAUUUAAGGUUAUUUUCGGGUUGGUUUCAGGUUAUUUUCGGAUUAAUUUAAGGUUAUUUUCGGGUUGGUUUCAGGUUAUUUUUGGGUUAAUUUAAGGUUAUUUUCGGGUUGGUUUCAGGUUAUUUUUGGGUUAAUUUAAGGUUGUUUUUGGGUUAAUUUCAGUUUUUUUUCAGGUUAGUUUAAGGUUAUUUUCGGGUUAGUUUCAGGUUAUUUUUGGGUUAAUUUAAGGUUAUUUUCGGGUUGGUUUCAGGUUAUUUUUGGGUUAAUUUAAGGUUGUUUUUGGGUUAAUUUCAGUUUUUUUUCAGAUUAGUUUAAGGUUGUUUUCGGGUUAUUUUUGGGUUAGUUUCAGGUUAUUUUUGGGUUAAUUUAAGGUUAUUUUCGGGUUAAUUUAAGGUUAGUUUCAGGUUAUUUUCAGGUUAAUUUAAGGUUAUUUUUGGGUUAGUUUCAGGUUAUUUUCAUGUUAAUUUAAGGUUAUUUUCGGGUUGGUUUCAG
ensembl:lncRNA